AAUAGUCCUUUUAAUUUUCUAAUCACAUCUUGUGAUGUUGUUGUUGAAAGAUAAUCAUACUCAAUAAAAUUAGAGUAAUAAUCAACAGUAAUUAGAUACUGUCUUCCAUCCACUUCCAUCAGGUCAGCUCCAACUUUUUCCCAUGGAACAUUUCCUUCAUCAUGUUGUAUAAGUGUUUCUCUCUGGUUCAUAGGUUUUCUUUCUUGACAAGCAGUGCAUGUCUCUGCCAUCUGCUUUAUUUCAUCAGCCAUGCCUGGCCAGAAUAUCGUCUGUCCGGCCCUCCUCAUCAUUCCAUCAUAUACAAUGUGUGCUGUGUGCAGGUUUUUCUUCAUUUCUUGGCGCAUACUGAAAGGCCCCUUCAUAUGUUGACCUAACAAAGUCAAAGUUGCCAAGGAGAGUUGAGUAAAUAGAAGCAAUAACACAGUUGAAUGUUCAAGUAUCCACCUGACUGAUGAAUGUUCAAGUAUCCACCAGACAGAUGAAUGUUCAAGUAUCCACCAGAUAGAUGAAUGUUCAAGUAUCCACCAGACAGUUGAAUGUUCAAGUAUCCACUAGACAGAUGAAUGUUCAAGUAUCCACCAGACAGUUGAAUGUGCAAGUAUCCACUAGACAGAUGAAUGUUCAAGUAUCCACCAUUUCAUUAAUUAUCAUAUUUCUCUUUUAGGAAAAUGUUUCUGUUUUCACUUUAUUUUAUUUUGUACCAGUCUAGUAUUUUGUACCAUUAAAAAUUUAUAUUUUAUGUUAGUAAAAAAGAUGUUUGAAAUUUUGUAGCAAAAUUUUUUUUAAAAAUCUCUAUAUAUAUUAAAAUAGUAAUUUACUCAACCUUGGAAUCCUAUCACUGAACUGGGAAAGCUAGCUUUGAUUGUUUUUGUUGUUGUAAAUAGCCAUAUGGAUAGUGUGUACAUUAUGCAAAGGUUGAUUAUUUGCUAUUAAGGUUGGAGUUUUCCUUUUUUUAAUUAUUACAUGAUUUCAAUGUUAAAUACCACUGUAGUUGUCUUUCUGAUAAUGAUGCUAUGAUGUGGUCUUGGUAUAUUUUUUCUGUGAUUAGAUGUUGUAACAUAUAGAUAUUGACAAUGUAAAAAGUUUAUAUACAACCAAGUUCAUACAUUAAUCUAUUUCACAAUCAUACAAACUAUAAACUGCGUAAAGCUUUUUGUUAUUAUUAAAAAUAUAAACUGUAAAGUAUUGGAUACUAAAAUGCAUUUUAAUUGAUUCUUCCCGAGCUAUACUUUAUUGCUUCUUCAUUUUGUGUGUGCACAAUCUAUUGAAUUAACAAUGUAAUUUUUUGUGAGAUGAUUUGUGUUGGUCACAUGUAUAUGUCAUUAGUUUCUAUCAUGAUUUUUUUAAAAGUAUUUGUGUAAAACCAGAGAGGUUUCAUUAAAUUUGUACUUUAUUAAUUUUUUAUUUUACAUUUUUGUUUAGUUUUAAUUUUACUUACAAGCUGAAUUUGUAUACAUAGCUAUGAUUUGAUGGAAUUCUUCUUUUUAUAAAAUUUUACAUGGUCUAAGGUUUUUGAGUUCAUUGAAGCUUUUUUUCAAAACUCUGAAGAGUUGAACUGAAGGCUUGUAAAACUAUAGGCCAGCAAAAAAUAAAAGCUUCCUCUCACCAGCCUGACUGAAAUGAUUGUUCUGUCUGGAAGAGAUCCUAAUUGAUGUCUGUAUCACACUACUAUUUCCAAUGCUUCAGAAGCUCCAGACACAGGGGCUAGAGAUUGGCAGACCGCUAAGCACACCAAGAACUCCUAUGUUGUACUAUGUUGUAGACUGGGAUGUUUGCUUUCUGACAGCAUUGUAGAAUAAUUAUAUUGUAAUAAAAUAUUUUUCAAAUAAAAAAAUUAAAUGAAACAAAACCUACAUCUUGGCUAUUAAAAUCCAGGUUAAUACUGCUAUUUGUUAUAUAAUGUAUGUGUCACUGUCAUGAGAUGUAUACAUUGGAUGCUUACAUAAACAUUGGUUUUGUGAAACAUCAGUCAAUUGUAUUUAUGACCCUACUCUAAAUGGCCUAGAAUGUUGAACAUAAGAGUACCAGUUCAAUGUUAGAGAAAAUAAUAGUAAGUAGGGGAGACAAUAAAAGAGUUUUAAUAUGUUC